UUGAACGCUGGCGGCAUGCCUUACACAUGCAAGUCGAACGGUAGAGGGGCAACCCUUGAGAGUGGCGAACGGGUGAGUAAUAUAUCGGAACGUGCCCAGUCGUGGGGGAUAACGCAGCGAAAGCUGCGCUAAUACCGCAUACGAUCUAUGGAUGAAAGCGGGGGAUCGCAAAGACCUCGCGCGAUUGGAGCGGCCGAUAUCAGAUUAGGUAGUUGGUGGGUAAAAGCCCACCAAGCCGACGAUCUG
rnacentral:rRNA from 1 species